AUGCAGAAAGAAUGCAUAUGAGUUUUGUAUGAAUGCCUAUACAAUACAAGCAACCUUGUUUCUGUUCUUAACCUCUUCACCCAGUCUUUAAGGAGGAGGUAGAGUCAUGAAGGUGCUUUUCUGCAUUCGAUCUUCUGUGACAAAACGAAACUGAAAACUCACUCACAAAAGACGAAAUUUCCUCGUUCCAAGGGUCCCACCCACACUCUGACCUUUCUGAAAGCAAUUGGAAAAUUCUUGCCCACAAAAGCUAAAAUUCUCUCGCCCCAAGAGUCUCCAC